rnacentral:rRNA from 1 species
CCAAUAGCGUAUAUUAAAGUUGUUGCAGUUAAAAAGCUCGUAGUUGAAUUUCGAGAUCAAAUUGUUGGUCGUGCCUCGGUACGUACUGGCAUUCUUGAUUUCUCCCUUCUGAAGAACCUUGAUGUCAUUAAUUUGGUGUCUUGGGGAAUCAGGACCGUUACUUUGAAAAAAUUAGAGUGUUUAAAGCAGGCUCACGCUUGAAUACAUUAGCAUGGAAUAAUGAAAUAGGACGUUUGAUUCUAUUUUGUUGGUUUCUAGGAUCGACGUAAUGAUUAAUAGGGAUAGUUGGGGGCAUUAGUAUUCAAUUGUCUGAGGUGAAAUUCUUGGAUUUAUUGAAGACUAACUACUGCGAAAGCAUUUGCCAAGGAUGUUUUCAUUAAUCAAGAACGAAAGUUAGGGGAUCGAAGACGAUCAGAUACCGUCGUAGUCUUAACCAUAAACUAUGCCGACUAGGGAUCGGAUGAUGUUAAUUUUUUAAUGACUCAUUCGGCGCCUUACG